rnacentral:rRNA from 1 species
UACGGAGGAUCCAAGCGUUAUCCGGAUUCAUUGGGUUUAAAGGGUGCGUAGGCGGAAUGAUAAGUCAGUGGUGAAAUCUCUCGGCUUAACCGAGAAACUGCCAUUGAUACUGUCAAUCUUGAGUACAUUUGAUGUGGGCGGAAUGUGUCAUGUAGCGGUGAAAUGCUUAGAUAUGACACAGAACACCGAUUGCGAAGGCAGCUUACUACACAGUAAUUGACGCUGAGGCACGAAAGCGUGGGGAUCAAACAGG